GAAUCAGAGAAUUGUUUCGUUGGUGCGAACACCGCAGUCCGAGCAGCUGGUUGCUGUUCCGUGCGCGGUUCUUGAGGCGGAAGCCGAAAGAACUUUCAUAGUGACGGGUGCCGGAACCGAGAGACGUGAGGACGCAACGACCGCCGAGGAGACGGGGAGAGGUUGCCCACCGCGGACAAUGGAGACAUGUAACGAGAACAUUUCGGUUGUGCCGACAAUCAUUAUUCAGGAGAACGUAGGAUCCACAGCGCAACUGCGAGAAACAUGUGGAAAUAUCUUGUCUGAACCAGUAUACAGUUCGACGCCGAUCGAAGGAUCAUCGACU